rnacentral:misc_RNA from 1 species
GCAGCCUUUAACAGUUAACACAUUAUCAUCUUCUUUCUCCUUUCUCUGCUCCUUUAAACACAUUGCUUCUCUCUUACACACUCUCCAUCCUCCAUAACUAUCUCUUCUUUCUCUCUCUAUCUCUCUCCAUUUCUCCAUAAAUAAUCUGACACACGGCAGUUUAUUCACCAGCUUCAACUCUUUCUCUCCCAAAUGUACUUUCACUGGGGUUUCUUCCUCACACCAACUCUUUCUCUCUCUUGUUCUUGAUCUCAUCCGUUGCACUCAAGAACCUCUCUUUUAAUUUUUUUUUCUUUU